UAAGGAGAUGGUGGCACAUGGGCUGCACGAGCAUUUCCUGUCCUUCCGCAGCUAUAGGAGUUUCCGAAACCAUCUGAUGCAAUUGCUGGGACAGUCUGUUGUACCGUGCAGUCACCCAUAAAUCCAAAUAUGAUCACAAGUCUGAAAGUCAUUCACUCAGUCUAACACGGUUGGCCGCAGUAGGGUGUCAUCAGUUCAGAAGGUCACAGUAUCCAAGACGCUGAGGUUGCAGGACUCAAAUUUCAUUCAUGUACUCGGAUUAAAGACAAGCUUGAGAGAGAGUUGGUGUUUGAGGCGAUCACGCUGGAGUCGGAGCGGAUCCUACUUUUUAAGGAGUACCAGGCCUUGCUGGAGGACACCUGUAGUCACCACCACGCCAAGAGAAAGAAACGCAAACAGAAACAUAAACGAUCCCGAUCCAGAUCUACAGUACAGUGUUGGUUUUGAGGUGAUGUGUGUGUCCGAAAAUGUGCCCGGGGCACCAGGCCAAUUCAAGAGAACCAGUUCAGGAGAUUACAGGAAUGGUUACUGUGUUCUACAGUUAGACAGAAUCUCUGGAGGGAUCUAUAACAUCAUGCCCAGUACCUUCCUACCCGGCCAGGAGGGACCGUUCUUCUUAGACAUCAGCAGCUCUAGCCCUGUAACAGUAGCACAGAUAUAGUAGAACCAAUGUGAGAAAAUAGGAUGGGGGACAUCAGCAGCUCUAGUCCUUUAACUGUCACCCAGAUACAGUAGAACCAACAUUAAUGGAGGGACAUCAGCAGCUCUAGUCCUUUAACUGUUGCACACAUACAGUAGAACUAAUGUGAGAAAAAGAGAUGGGGGAUAUCUAGUUGAACAAGUGUGAAUUUGUACUUUAUAAAAUGGAUGGAUAUCAAUAGCCUCCAACUCAGAGGACUCUUGUCAUUGUGUGUUAUAUUUAGUAGAUACACUGUACGGUAGAACUAAUGUGAAUGAGCAGGCUGUAUUCAGCAGUCUUCAUGACAUGGGGGAAACUAGGAUUUCAGUUAUGCAUCAUUUGUUGUCCCCCGCUUUCGUGAAAGUAAGGGGACAUUAAAUCUCAUUCGUCUGUCCGUCAGUCUGUCCGUCCGUCACAAAAACUUUAACCUUGCCCAUAACUUUUGAUUUAGUGGAGCUAUGAUUUUCAUAUUUCACAAGUGUAUUCUUUGUGACAAGACCUUUCUUUGGGUACCACAAAAAUUUGACCUUUUGACCUUGACCUUGGA